UGGGGAAUUUUGGACAAUGGGGGCAACCCUGAUCCAGCCAUGCCGCGUGAGUGAAGAAGGCCUUCGGGUUGUAAAGCUCUUUCGGACGGGACGAAAUGGUUAGCGUGAAUAACGCUGACUGAUGACGGUACCGUAAUAAGAAGCACCGGCUAACUACGUGCCAGCAGCCGCGGUAAUACGUAGGGUGCGAGCGUUAAUCGGAAUUACUGGGCGUAAAGCGUGCGCAGGCGGUUCGCCAAGUCAGGUGUGAAAUCCCCGGGCUUAACCUGGGAAUUGCGCUUGAAACUAGCGGGCUUGAGUGUGGCAGAGGGGGGUGGAAUUCCACGUGUAGCAGUGAAAUGCGUAGAUAUGUGGAGGAAUACCGAUGGCGAAGGCAGCCCCCUGGGAUAACACUGACGCUCAUGCACGAAAGCGUGGGGAGCAAACAGGAUUAGAUACCCUUGUAGUCCCUGAGCGGGCUGGCAAGGCG
rnacentral:rRNA from 1 species